rnacentral:lncRNA from 1 species
AUGUCAUUUAUGGACUUCAAGUAUGACCCUAUGGAAGCAGCUUUCUAUACAGCUUUGCUCCUGUUAUUUGGGGCUUUUUCCUUGUCUGGAGUGUUAUCAUGGUUGAACACAAUCGUGCAGGUUGGUUUGGAACAUUCCUAUCACUACCCUGCUUCAAAGCGUUCACUCAGAUCGCAUAUGCAAUUUAUUUUAACACAGUUCCCCAUUUUCUUCUACAAUAUUGGUAGAGUCAGGACGUCAAUGGAGCAUUCUCCAUGGAUGAUGUUUAAUUUUGGUGAAUUCAGUUUCAUAUUUUUAACAUCAACGGUGCUCACUGUCAUGUUCGAUCUCCCAUUCCAGCAUGUCAGAAAAUUAUUAUGGCCCUCUUUUAAAAAGUUCCUAUAAAUUCAAACAAGCUUUUCAAAGUAAAACGGAGUCCGCAUCAGCUGUGAUAUCGAACAAGAAGGAUUCAGAGUAAGCUCCAAACUCAAGGAGUUAGAGAAUAAUAAUAUAAUUUUUGAUCUUUGGUAAGAAAUCAAAUGAAACAAUCGCUCUUUAAAUAUUGUUCGCAUCUAGUUUUAAUGCACUGUUACGUUAUAGUUUUUUUUCUGAAAUUCAAGCAUUGAAAACAAUUAAUAAUCAUACUUACUUUCCUAUUUUUUAGCAUAGUAUGCUGUGAAAUUUUAGUGAACCCACAAAAUUUUUAAAUUUCAAAAUAUCUGACUGGAUCUGUGAAAAGGGACAUUAUUUUUUUUGGAAAACAUUUUGUAAGCUUUUGGAAAUGCAUGGAGGAAAAAUCUGGAAAUUUCGGCGCAAGUUUGACCUUGAAUGCUUAAUAAUUAAAGAAGGUAUGAGUCCUGGAGCUACAAAAACUCUCAGGUGUAGAAAAAGUGAUUGCUAUUGAAAUAAUGUUAAGGAAAAUUUCUUCUGGGAGAUAAUGUCCCUAUCCACAGAUCCAGUCACAACGUUGAUGAUUGUUCAAUACAAAUUUUACUUUAGCUACAACAUUGAAAUUAAUGUGUGUGAAGUCAGACCUGUUUCUAAAAUUGUCAAGAACAAGAACUUCUGCAUCCAGCGAAUUUCUCAGGUUCAUCAGGUGUUGUCUCACGCUUUCUGUAAUUUCCCCAAUUCGAGCAGUUCAGUUCGUUGUCUCGUAAACAUUCUUGACAUUGGGCUUCAUUCUUAUGUUUGCCUCUUGCUUCUCCAAAUCAGUGUUGUGAAAGAUGAAAUGAAAAUAAUAAAUAUUUUCAUUUCAAAGGAAUUUGUAGAUUCCUUACCUUUUUAAGUGAUGAAUUUCAUUUUUCUAGUCCUUGUAUGUUAUGUACUUAUGUUUAGUUAGUUCUGACGUUUUGGUUUUUUGUUAAUUUAAUGUAAAUAUUGGCUUCUAUUUUUUUUUUUUUUUUUUAUAAGUUACUGUAAAUAGGGUAUCAUUUAGGUGAGUUUCUCUUUAUUAAUUUAUUUUGAGUCGUGAGUUACUAUAAUCUGCCUAUUGUUAUGGCACCAGUUUCAAAAGAUUACGCAUAUAGUACCAAGAAAUUUGGCAGCGGCUAACAUUUUUAAUACUUAAUUUGAUGUUCCUCCCAACUUACUGAGCACUAUGAGCUUUUGAAAUCCAAAUUUCUAUGUGCCCAAUCGAAAAAAGCAGGGUUGAAAAGUGCAUUUUUCAGUCUUUUUACAGGAACUCUCUAAUGAAGGGAGAUGUGAUAUGAUGUGGACGCUGUGCAGCAAGCUGGUCUCAUUCCUAGGAUUUUGAUUAUUUUCAUCAGUCUUAUCUUUUAGUUAAGAGGAAAUAAAAGAUACUUCCACAGUAAGAAAGAUAUCGCAACAUAUCUACUAGUUGUAGGUAGCGUUCAGAAGUGUCAAAAAAUUAACUUUUCACUCUGUUUGAGACUGGCACAUAGAAAGUUGCUUUUAAAACGCUCUCAUCUGCUCAGGAGGCUGUGAAGAUUUCUUAAUAUUAUGUGCGAUUGUCAUUUAUUUUUGAAGUAAUUUCCUGGGAUUGUCACCCAGUUUAAGCCACAUGAGCUGCAGUUUUUUUUCCCCGCAGAUUGACAUCAUAAGAAGGAUUAAUCGUAGACGCCUUUUCUGGUAUAACGCAUUUUACUAUUGUUUUUUUUUUCAUUUUUAGUCACAAAAUCCCAUGAUCACUAAAUAUUUUAAAAGCGCCUCUAAGUGCUUGUCAACCACCUUUGAAAGUUCGCUUGAGCAUGGUUCUGAAGAGUUAAAUUGAGAGCUUUCCAUAACCAGUUUAAGAAUAUUUCGUAGGCAUGUCAAAAUACCCCCAUUUUUGUUACUUUUAUAACAAAGUAUAUUAUUUUUCUUCUCGCAAUUGGUAAAAACGAAUCCACAUGUAAUAAACUAUCAUGUCUCCUUUUCAUAAGUAUCGUUUUUCAAAAUUAAAGUCAUUUUAGGUGAAUGAUUAUUUUUUGAAUUUCAUGACAAAAGUAGUCUCACAAGGUCCUGAUCACAGAGAGAGCACAGUACUAAAGUUAAAUUUUUCACAAACUAUCACAAAC